rnacentral:tRNA from 1 species
GGGCCGGUGGUCUAGUGGUUAUGACACCUCCCUUACAAGGAGGGGAUCGCCAGUUCGACUCUGGCUCGGCCCA